rnacentral:rRNA from 1 species
AUUGAACGCUGGCGGCAUGCCUUACACAUGCAAGUCGAACGGUAACGGGCCUUCGGGUGCCGACGAGUGGCGAACGGGUGAGUAAUGUAUCGGAACGUACCUUUCAGUGGGGGAUAACGUAGCGCAAGUUACGCUAAUACCGCAUAUUCUGUACGCAGGAAAGCAGGGGACCUUCGGGCCUUGCGCUGAUUGAGCGGCCGAUAUCAGAUUAGCUAGUUGGUAAGGUAAAGGCUCACCAAGGCGACGAUCUGUAGCGGGGAUGAGAGGAUGAUCCGCCACACUGGAACUGAGACACGGUCCAGACUCCUAAGGGAGGCAGCAGUGGGGAAUUUUGGACAAUGGGGGCAACCCUGAUCCAGCCAUGCCGCGUGAGUGAAGAAGGCCUUCGGGUUGUAAAGCUCUUCCGGCCGUAAAGAAAUCGUAUCAGCUAAUACCGGGUGCGGAUGACGGUACCGGCAUAAGAAGCACCGGCUAACUACGUGCCAGCAGCCGCCGUAACAC